CCAAUCAAUUAAUAAUUAGUCAAACUUAAUCACCUGUUUAACACACGGGUUUAAAUGACAGAUGCCUUGCCUGGGGGAAAAAACAGAAAAACAUGGCGUCUGUACCAGAAAAUGUGAAGGACUCCGCUCCCCCAAUUGAGAUAGGCUCUUCAAACACACCGUUACUUGAAGACCUCGAACACUCGUUGGAAUCCCUCAAGAAACGGAUGGAUCUAUGCAACACUGUUCUGAAAGACUUAGUAGAGCUGUCUGGUAUUU